AGAUCGAACACCAACAACAUAAUAUCAUGGUAAUCGCCUAGCAAGAGAACGCAGUGAUAAUGGGCCAACAGAAAACACAACAUCAAGAUGCUCGGAAAGGACUUUCUCUUUCGAAUAAACAUAAUGGCACGUCAUGUUCAAUCGGCUAACCGUUUGGAAUAAGCGCUCAUCAUCGGUUUCAUGGCAGGGAAGUGAGCAGGCAAAAGAAGGCAUCGUUUUUUCCGCAAGGUCGCUCUGGUCAAAAUUUCAGCGAAUUGCAAGGAAUAAACCACCCGAGGGACAGUACCCGUGCUGAUUCAGGACGAUUUCCCAUACUUUGUACCUUGCUAUUGAAUUUUAAUACCCGAUCGAAACGAUGGUAAGCGCUGCCGAUAACUGGGUCAAAAAGACGACGAAUCGAGUAAUUUCUGCACUCGGUUAGCGAACUGAGUAUAUAUCACCAAGGAUAAGGAUUCAGAGCUGGCAGUCCAGAGAAAGAGAAUGCGGAAAAACCUAGUCCACCGGCAGUAGAACCAAAGCUGCACCUGAUGUUUGGAGUUCAGUAGCUACGGAAAUUCUGACUCUAGCACCUCCUGAAGAAAAACAAGCUGCAAGAGAAAAUGGAGAAUCAGCUUCCUCCGCGGAAGAUGCAGAGGCAUUCAAGUAAGUCGAAAUCUGCAG